rnacentral:misc_RNA from 1 species
GAUGAAGAACGCAGCAAAAUGCGAUAAGUAAUGUGAAUUGCAGAAUUCAGUGAAUCAUCGAAUCUUUGAACGCACAUUGCGCCCGCCAGUAUUCUGGCGGGCAUGCCUGUUCGAGCGUCAUUUCAACCCUCAAGCACAGCUUGGUGUUGGGACUCGCGUUAAUUCGCGUUCCCCAAAUUGAUUGGCGGUCACGUCGAGCUUCCAUAGCGUAGUAGUAAAACCCUCGUUACUGGUAAUCGUCGCGGCCACGCCGUUAAACCCCAACUUCUGAAUGUUGACCUCGGAUCAGGUAGGAAUACCCGCUGAACUUAAGCAUAUCAAUAAAGGA